rnacentral:tRNA from 1 species
GCCAGAUCAGCGGCGUGAUUCUCCAGCCUCUCUCCUAAAGCGGGUGUCGCAGGUUCGAAAUCCUGCCGGGGGCACCA